ensembl:snoRNA
CUGCAAAGGUUUCCAGUACAGAUGCAAGAAAAAAGUGUCCUUCCCCUUUCUGUCUGUCUGAUUGUGGCAGACAAGAUUGAAUGGGGGAAUACAGGA